CUCUAGCCCCGAUAGAAGUAGAAAUCCUUGUGGGUCGGGGUUCGGCUCACAAGAUUGAAGCGGAUAGCGGGACAAUAC
rnacentral:sRNA from 1 species